CCCACAGUCUCCGCCCGUGAAGGGGCUCCUAGUGUGUGGAAACCUUUCCUUCUUCACGGCUCCCUCCCCGGUGUGCAGACAAUGGUUACUCCAUCAGCCUGGAUUCCAGAGAGAGAAGACAUGGAGCAAAACCUCUAGACAACAUGUACAGGACGUGCACUGUGUUGAAGUUCAAAGACAAAUAAGACGCAAUUGCAGUUCUUGAGAUAUUUGUCAUCUGAUGGAUGAAAGAAACACAAACAAAUGUGUUGAAGUGAAAUAAAAGAGAAUGUGAAGUCAGACCAUUGCCAGACACAAAGGAAUACCUGUGACAGUGCCAACUUGUAAUGCAGCCACUAACACAAAGGGAGAGGUGGGCGUAAGG